CUAAAGAUGUGUUUAUAUGAGGCUUAACAGGAAGCAUCAUCAAUUUAUUAUUAACGCUAGAUAAAGGUCAGCUCUAAUAAAUGAUGUAUACAUCUAAAAUGGGUGCCAGAUUUAGGGACCUGCCUAAAUAAAUUCUCAGAUGCUCAACCAACAGUUUCACGUUGCUGUUGGAACUCCAUGGCCUGGCCAUGCAGGUGCCUUGGGCCCAUUCAAGCUCCGGUGGCUUUUUUAUGCCUUUUAGGAGGAUUUUUGUAUUUCAGUCUAAGCCAGCUGCUGGCAGCACCCGUAUCUCCUCUGCAGAGCACUCCAAUCCUCCUCCUGCUAUGUCUCCCCUUCCAUGAAGGCUCCAUAGCCAGGACAGCGAAGCAGGAGGCAGAAAAUUGGCCGCUGGCGCAGUGCAUUGCCCCGAGCCAUCCCUGGCUCUCGUCUCUAUUUUCUUCCCAUCACUCGGAGACGAACUUCAUGGGGGAAAUAUGAAAGAAACAAAUUAGAAUUGCCUCACUGGUGUGACAGCGAGGAGAGCUCCGAGCUGGAGGAGCUGAAUGGGGUGAUAAAUCCCAUCACUUAAACCGCGUAAUGAAUUUUCGUGGAGAUUUGUCUCAGUUUAAAGAGAGGGGGGGAAAAGUAUGAAAUUCUCCUCCGCUUUUGCAGAAGGGUUGCAGGCUGCUCUGACUGAAAUGUGUAAAUCUGAAGAGUUUGUGCUUGCAGUACAUCCGGAUAGGUUCCCCAUCGUUAACAGCGCCGGGUGCAGAUUUCAAUGAGAUGCCAAAUCACCUUUGCCUCUCCUGGCGCUCGGUCUAAUAACAUUAUUUUGUUCAAGGAGCCUGUGAGAACUACUGCGUUUCAGGAGUAAUUCUGCAGCUAAAUAUAGAAAAGAGGAUUUCUUUUGCAUUGCAACAAAACACUUUUGUGCUGUGAUGACUUCGGUGGAGGGGUUGGAAAAUCCUUUGUGGUUGAGUUGGGAGACCUUGGAUAAACCUCUGUCCUUACACCUCCUUCUUCUCUCUGAUCUUCAGAUGUAUUCAGGUUUCAAGGCCUUCAGGGCAGGAGCCAGCUUUUGUUGUGCCCUCUGUAAGAUGCAACACCUCAUAUGCCAGGCUUAUCCAUGUCCAGUACAGACCAACAGGUAGAUUCGGAUAUACCUUAUUUUUAUGACAUGCAACAUAGCUAGAGAUGUCCAACUUCAGUGGAGGUACUUUGAAUGAGACCCCAACUGCUGCUGUAGCAUUGGAUUUUCCAUAAGAAUCCAACCCCUGGCAGAAGCACAAACCCAGAGAAGCACCAUCUGAGCUUCCAACAGCUCACACCUUCAUUUCCACAUCAGAAUAAUAAACCACACCAUUAUGAUGAUGAUGAUUAUUUUCUCUGAGAAUCUCAGAGAAAGAGCCCUACAAGUUUCCUCUUGUUGGAAUGGAACUCAGCACAUGAGCAAGCCUACAAAUAUGUGCUAGGAAAAAUCUGUAAUAACUGAUAUUCCCUCAGGUAACAGACGAAUACUCCUCUGUGUUCAGACAAUGUUUUUCUUGCUUUACUGCUGUUUUUACCCAGAAGUGGGAGUUGGCUGUCCUGGCUGUACCAAACCAGCAGAUUUUAAAGGAAUCCUGAGGAUUAUCUUCAAAAACCAACAUUUUCAUUAAAAAAAAAAAAAAAAGAGGAGAGGGGAGGGAAGAAAAGAAAAAGGACAGAUUCAUUCAAAUUUCUGCACACCCUCUCAGGCUGCUGACAGGACAGCAAAUGGCCAAGUCUCACCAAGGGGAGUUUUGAGAAAUACUCAGGACAGCAUCGCUUCCAGCUCCUGGAUGCAGAGGAACUCGCAGUGGGUCAGCCCUAAGGACACUCCCAUCCCCUCUUCUGGUUUCAGAACACUGUGUGUUCCCCCACAGCCCCCAGAGCAGCUCCCAGCAGCAGCCAUCUCCCCGCUAUCCCCAUUCACGGCGAAGAUUCAAACAUUCCAAGCCCAUCCAUCCAGUCCAACGGCGGACAAUUAGGGAUUUGUGGCACGAGGUACAUUAGUUACAUUGAUUUGGCUUUGCAGCUCCAGCCAAGCUACCUUUAGCUUCACGCAGUACAUUAAUGGGAGCAAUGGGCAUGACAACUCCUACACACAAAGGCACCAGGCCACUUACAGCUGGUAAAUGAACCUUGGAACUUACAUAAAGCAGAAGGGCAAUGUAAAUGGGACUUCACCCCAUCCCCACCUCCUGACUUGAGACUGUGGCUUGAGAACAGCAGGAAUUGCUCAUGGGACAGCCCAGGGAUGUAUAUAUCAAGGCUGGAACACAGAGAUGAAAGCAUCCCGGGGGCAGGCAGAAGAGUGGGGCUGGAAUUCAGCUUCCUCACUGCAAGAUUUCACUUUCACUGAGUAGAUAUUUGGUAAAAUAUCUCUUCCUCCUCAUGCUGAGGACCUUAUUGCUCCCCAGGCCUGAGCACAGGAUCAUUCAACAGAAAGACAUUGAAAAAGUCAGCGUUGGCUUUUUCUCUCUGCAAAUAACACCGUGUUUCAGAGAGGCUGAAAUUGCAACAUGAAUCAAAGCAGACAGCUGGAGUCUAUGCGUGCAGCCUGCAGCCCUCAUGCACUGAAGGGCCUGCCCUGUCCCCAGGAUGUCUAUGGACGCUCCAAGGGGUUCCUAUUACCAUCUCCACUCUGCCAGGAGGGAAACUGAGGCUGGGAAUGUCACCCAUGACUGCUGAGUCUGUGGACGUCUCCUUGGAAUCACAUCAGUUCAUUACAGGCACAGCUUUCCUUUGGCCAUCAGUGUCCAUCUGCUCAGAUGUUCCGGAGCUCCAUCAUGAAAGCCUGGGAAAUUUAUUUAUUUCAACCCAUUUAAAGUGAUUUCACUAAUGUAUUCCACAGAGUGGGUUUAGCGUGUGAGCUCUUUACUAAAAUCAUUACUGUAUUAAUGAGACCUAACCUAAAGCCACUGAACAUGACUUUAAAGGAAUAUCUCAAAGCGGCGGCUGAGAUGGAUGGGAGCAGGCAGAACGUGUUUGUAAAGUUAUAUUUAGUCAAAUCAAACUGGAACUCAUUAAAUACAGCAAAAUAAUUCACUGAAUAAUUCACUCCAGUUGAAUGCGAAGGAUUUGGAGAACCUUGGGUUGUUUGAUUGAAAAGCAGGUUAUUGAUGCUCCUGUGCAUGUGACAGAGCAGAAAUAGGAGUGGGAGGUGGAGAGCUGUCACCUCGGUGUGAAGGGCCUUCCGUGGAGAAAGGUCCAUCAGAACCAAAGGUUGGCAAAGCGUGGCUGGAAUUAAGGCUCACGCUUUUGUUUGGGAGGGAAAUGAACAGCAGCCCCUGAGUGGGGAGUAUGGGAUGUAGGAGAGCACUCUGGGAGCAGCGCAGGGUCAGAGGAGGAAUGGCUCCAGCAGUGCCUUUGCUUAUACCCAAGCAGGGCAUGCACCUACUCUUAAAGCAAGUAAAACCUCAUUCCCUCAUUCGUGCAAACUUCAGGCCACACCUCAGACCUGGUCCCAACCAUUCAGCCAUCCCUACAGCAUCGGAGAGGAUCAGCUUUGCUUCACAUAUGAGAAAACCCUGGCACAGACACCAUGGCAGCUCAGCCAUGUGUCCCCUCCGCACCCCCUCCUCCUUUAACCCCAUUCAUGCCAGCAUGCUCCGCUCUGGAAUCUCCCAGCAAAAGGAAAAGCUUUAAACAAAAUACAAUUUUACAGUUCAUUUCAGUUAAUCACAGAGUCUAUGUUCUGAAAUGAUCUUCUCGGCAUUGCCUAUGGAGAGAAGCAAUGGCUGAUUGGCAUUCCAUUACUAAACAGCUAAGCCAUUCAUAAUGCAAAAAAACAGACUUGAUGGAAAGAUUUGAUUCAGUUUUCAAGCUAGACUAAUUCAAAACCCAGUGCUCUAUAAAUCAGAGCAAAUGUUCUUUAUAAAAAAAAUAUAGCCGAGCCUGUGUGCAGUAUCAGAUCUAUGAUUUAUGCCUGUAUCCCAUUAAACUGAAGGACAAGCGAGGGGAGCACAGGGCUGCCACUGCAUGCCAGCUCCCUGCCUGCCCCGCAAUAAACACGUUCUGUGACUGCAGGAACAGUGUGAUGUCUGAGGGACGUUUGGGGGCUGAGGGGAUGUUCUGUUUUCCAGGGGCACAGCAAAGCCCCUUGGGGGGCUGUGGAGCCUGCAGGAGGGCAGGGGAUGGUGCCUCGGAGCAGCAGGGCUGUGCUGAAGCCCUCGGUUUUUCCUUCUUUGCUGCACCACCUCAUGCCCUGCAGAGUCCCUUCUGCAGAGAUACCACUGUUUUUCAGCCUGCAGGUGGGAUGUCUCCUUUGAGCAUCACAGGAUACAACAGUUCCCCAGCACCACUUUCAGGCUGCAGCAGAAGGAAGCGGUCCAGGAAACAUCCCACGCGUGUUUCCUUCCUGCUAAACCUCUCCACCCGAUGGCAGCUUCAGCGCUGUGCAUUGCUUUGGUGCAUGGAGCAGUGCUGUGUUCCACACCAAGCCCUGGGUGUGGGUGUUCUUCCACCUCUCCGUGCAUCUCCUGCUCUUGUUUGCCUUCUCUACAGCUCACGUGGCUCCACACCGAGUGGAGCUGGGGGCCGUUAACAUCUGUUGGCACUCCAGAGCUCGUGGGGAAAAUGAUGCCAUCUUUCAGGGACCGCCGCUGACAUUUUAAAAGCCGUGUCUGAAAUCCCUGAACAAUUAAGAGCGAGGCUUUCACAUUCCUCCCUACCCACAGCAUUGCACAGGCAAGGCACCAGCUGAGAAGUGCAUGGUGAUAGGAAAAGCCACGAUUAAUGAAUAAUGGAGCGCUGGCAAUAUGUAACUUCCAGGCGGAGCCAUCAUAAUUCAAUCCAAGCAGCAAUAUCAGGGCCUUUCCUUGGAGGAGUCUAAGCAGUGGUUAAAUAUUCAAUAAAAAAAAAAGAUGGC
ensembl:lncRNA